CUUGACGGAGCCCAGCAGGAGGGGGCUGUCGGCGUCGCGGCCCUGACCGUAGGUCGCCAGCAGCGCCUGCGCCUC
rfam:Streptomyces rimosus subsp. rimosus ATCC 10970 contig00055, whole genome shotgun sequence.